rnacentral:lncRNA from 1 species
UUCCUCUUGCUAGACCCAACGGUCCCAUUAGUACAGAGCUCAGCGGAAUUUGGGAGAAGCGCCGUCCUUCUAGUAACAAUGAGAGAGAACCACAAGACAUUCCCUAUUACGAGAAGGUCUGUGUUUUCUCUAUAGCGUUACCUGAUAUUUAAUGUAGGCAUUCAAAAAAAAACUGAGGGUUUUGAUUUCAGCUUCGAGCAUCGCUUGUGAAUGGAGGAAACCAACCUACUGAUGCUAACGGCAAUCAGAAGGAGGGCUUUAAGGAUAACAAUGAUGAAGCUAAUUAUGGCGACUUCCAUGAUUUUGGAGAGCAUGGUGGUGAUGAUCAUGAACAUGCGUUCAUGGAUGAAGAUGGUCCAGACAUGGUGAGUUGUGUCACUAAUUUGAACACACUCCAGUGGAGUUAUAUGGGGCUCUUAUCCGUUUAUUUGGAUUCAUGCAGAAUGAUGAUGGAGCUGCAGAUUUCCCCAACUACGAUGGGUUUGGAAACGACGACUCGCAUUGUCAAGAAAGCUUGGAAGAUCUUUGUCGCUCACACCUGGUAACUGCACUAGUUGGUGUGUGUGUUUUCAUCUAUUACCUUAUGGAAGCUCAAAUGAUCUGUUUUUUUUUUUGGUAGGAUGCUCUUCUUGCUAACAUAGCUAAAAGUGAGAAGCAGACAGAUCUAGCUGCUCGAGUUUCAACUUGGAAACAGAAAAUCGAGCUAAACCUAGAAGAACAAGUAAAAUAUAUUUCUUCUACUUUCUCUGACCAUUCACUUGAAGUCAGAGAUCUGAUUCAUUUUCUACACUGUCUGCUUUUACCAUAUGAUCAGGAGCUGCACCCUCCUUUUGACAUUCAAGAAUAUGGAGAAAGGAUUGUCAGCAAACUGACUGUUGAAGAGAGCCGAGACGUUGAGACCUUUACGGAUCUCAUGAAAGACCAAGAAAAACACGAUGUAGCCCGGGCUUUCUCCGCGCUUCUCCAGUUGGUAAGUCACAGAGCAAAACAUUUUUCUUCACGUUCACCAAAACAAGAAAUCAUAAUUUGAGUUAAAUGUAUAUACAGGUGAACAAUGGAGACGUUGAGCUGGAGAAACCUGGGAACUCGGUAGGCGAACCAGUGUGUUAUACGGCGGUUAAUCCUUUCAGCGUUCGGUUACUCAGUGAUCGUAACAGAAAGGCUGAGAAAAAUGCAAUGCAUUUACCUCGGAAACGAGAAAAAUCCCCCACAGCCAAAGGCAAAUCUCCAGAGUCACCACCAUCAAAGAAGGCAAACAACACAUGUUCUGUCUCAAGCAAAGAGACUAGGAAAGUGUCCUUAAAGAUAUCAAAGAUCAACAAUGUCGGCACUAAGUGCACACGGAAGAGCAAGAAGAGAUGAAAAAGUUUAAUCUGAUGAGGUAGUAGGCGAGGUAACUGAUGUUUUCUUCAGUCGAACACUGAGGGGAAUAUUGUAAAGCUAAAAUGGUUAAUGGCUCCACAAGUUAGAUUAUAGGUGUUGGAUUUUUAUCAGACAGUUAGGAAACUCUGUAACUGUGAGUUAUGUAUAAUGACGGCUUUGUCUGAAGUAGUAGCAGCCAUCAUCAGCCUAUGCAGUUGUAAUAACAAUCAAAUACCACUUUUGAUGAUCUUUUUAACAUAUUAGAGGGUGAUUUUGGAAUUUCUUUAAGAUUUGGAUUGUAGUUCAUAAAGUGAUAUCCUUUUUAUCUCAAGGGAAUAAGAAUCAUGUUGUUCAUAUAUAUCUUUUAUGUAUUUAGAUGCGUAUAUCGAUUUCAACUUGUUUGUUACUCCAUGUUUAGAUGCCUUGUUCAGUCAAUUUCAACCUGUUUGUGGCUCAAGUUGUAACAGUUCAAUUUAUUCGUCCUUUUAAUUUCAUUAUUUUAUUAUGACUUAUCUUAUUAUAUAAAGUUUGGUUCUUCAAAAUUGCUAAUUAACAUAAUCGCGACAUGUGUCAAUUAAUUUAUUAAGAUUGUGACAUGUGUCAAAAAUAUGUUACUAUUCUUUUUUAUUAGGAGUUAAAAAGAUUUAGAAAAAGAAAUUUAUUAUAACAUUUUUUGGAGACUAGAAAAGGAAAAUUAUUACAAAAAAUAGUUUAUUGUUAUUUUCAGGAGUUUAGAAAAGGAAAAUAACUAUUACAUAGUCUUUUACAAUUAUAUUGUAUGGUUCUUUUAUAGUCUUUUAAAAAUAUUUGAUAGUAAAUCUAAUUUUCGAAAAUUCUAGAAACAAAGAAUAAUUGUAAAAAGAUUUUUGAAUGUAUAUGUUUUCUUUUAAAAAUAUUUUUAUAUUUUUCAUCUUUAAAGAUACGAACGAAAGAUAUUAAGAGAAAAUAUUAAUUUUUUUAAAACAAAUCUUAAAAAAAUACGAAUUAUAAAAUCCUACAUGUACAAGAAAUUAUUUAAUAAAAAUCAAAUAGAAAAACGAACAAUAAAAUAAAUGAUAUUCCUUUUUUAAAACCUAAGAAAAUAAAAAUGUUAAAGGACUCUUAUUAUUUUUCAUAUAAAUAGCUAAGUUUCCUUUUUAACAGAUAAAUGCAUGCUACAAAAAUAUAAACCAAAAUAAAUAUUAUUUUUACAUCUGUAUUUAGGUUUAAGCUUCUUCAUAUUAUUUUUACAAAAAAUAGUAUUUACAAGAAAAAUAAUAUCUGAGUAUUUUCUUUUAAUUUCUGUAAACAACUCAUCAUCCUUAUUACAUCUUAUCUGAGUAUAACACAAUUUUUUUUAACUAUGAUCUUUUUGUCGUACAUAAGUAGUAUGUGUGAAUAUGAGGAAUAUAUAUAUGUUUGUAUGUAUAAGACACAAUAUAUAAAUGACUAAACAUGAUUUUUUUAUUGAAAAUAUAUUAGUUGUAUAAAAAUCUUAAACAAAACGACUUAUAGUUGGAAUUUUUCUUUUUUUAAAAACAAAAUUAAAAGUAACUUAUUUCUUUAAAAUAAUUAAAUUUUCUAUUUAAUAGAUAAUUUUGUGUUAAAAAAUUAUAAAUCAAAAAUAACUUAAAAUAUUUUACCCGAUAUGAUUGUGACAUUUGUAAAACAAAUUGUGUAUGUAUUAAUAAAAAUUUAUCAUUAUGUAAAAAUAACUUUUUUCCCUAAAAUCCUAAAUAAAAAAAUUUUGAAAAAUAACUUUUUCCUCUUUUAAUCUUAACCAAAUAAGAUUGUUUCCUUUUAAAUUCUGACCAAAUAGAAUUGUAAAAGUAAUUUUUACUUUUAAAAUUUAAUGAUAAAUAUGAUACUGAAAAUAUUUAAUUAAAAAUAUUAGUAAUAUUGAGAAGAAGAAUUUUGAAAAUAGCAACUUUUUAAAAUAGUUAAUAUUUGCUGGAAAUAAUUAUUUGAUCGUAUUUUUAUUUUCUAACUCCUAGAAAAAAUAAUUAUAAAAUAUUAUGUAAUGUUAAUUUUCUUUUCUAACACCCUAAAACUGUAAAAAAAUAUUUGUUCGUUCUUUAACUUCGAAAAGAAAAUCCUAAACAAAAGAGAUUUGUAUCAUAUUUUUUAAUUCCUAACCAAAAAACAAUUGUAAGAAGUUAUUUGAUAGUAUAUUUUAAGAGAAAAUUUGAUGAAGAACAUGAUACUAAAAAUUUUUUAAAUCAAAAAUGAAGUGUAAAAAUAGUAUUGAUAUGAGCUGUAAAAAUCAUACUCUUAAAAUUAUUUAAUAGUAACUAGAAAUAAUUAUUUGAUAGCAAUAAGAUUAUUCUGAAAUUCUAAACAGAAGAUAAUUGUAAAAGUUUAUUUGAUAAUACUUUUCCUUUUCUAAAAUCGUAAACAAAAAUAUAAAAAAUUUUGAUAGUUUUUCUUUUAUUAAUUGUAAAUAAAAACAAGAUUUGUAAAAUAUAAAUUUUUCCUUUUUAAAAAAAAUCCAAACAAAAGUAAACAUACAUAUUUAAUAGUAUUUAAGAAAACAAUUUGAUGACAAGUAUGAUGUUAAAGCUAUUAAAUUAACAAAAACCAAAACUUAGAAUGUUGUCGUGAUUGGUAUUUAAUUAUUUAUGUGUUUGGUUAUACGACAAUCAAACACAUGUUUGAUAUAUAUAUUCUCAUGUUUGCUCAUAAAAAUUGAUUAUUAUUACUGUCACCAUACAUAUGUUUAGUCAAAAACAAAUCAAGCUUCAUCGUUAUCUUAUUACAUUUUUUAUUUUAACUAUGCAGUAGUUUAUAAUUUAUUUUAAUUAAAAUAUUAUUUAUGAAAAUAUAUCUUUAAUAAAUAAUGAAUCCAGAAAAUUAUUUAACAUGAGAUAAGUUUAAUAAAACAUUAAAUUAGUACAUAAGAAAGUGUAUAAUGUUGGUAUUUCUUCUUGGCCUUAUUUAACUUCCAAAUUUCUUUUUAUUUCAUUAUAAUUAUUAUUUCGGGUUGGAUCCGGUUUAAAUUUUUACGUUUGAAUGUUUUUUCUAGCUCUAACAAAUAUUAACUGAAACUUAUGUGUAAACAAGAAUUCUUAAUUAUAAAAUAAAUUUCACAUAAUAUAUGCAAAAUAAUUUUAAAACAAUAAUAAAAUGAUUUUUUAAUAUUUUUAUUAAAAUAAAAUAUCAAAUAAAGCCCGUUGCAACGUACGGGUCCAAAUCUAGUAGGAAAUAAUUCUAAGGCUAUAUUUAAAAAAAAAGAAAAAGCAUAUAUAGUGCCAAAACAAUUAAAGAAAAGAAAACAGUAAACGUUCUAUAUAAAGAGAUAACAAAAAGGCAAAGAAAAAUACCAGGAUCAGUGUCUGACACUGUAUCUACAUGUAAAUUCCUUAUUUUUCAACACUGGUUUUGGACCUUUUGGGUCGCAACAAAAGACUUUCAGGUCAUCUAAUUGACAAUGGAAAGUUCCUGGAAAUUGUAUUCUCGUGAUAUUUUUGUUUGUCCUCUACUUGUAUGAGUUAACAUAAACACGUACCUUCAAAUUGCCCCUUCAUUUACGUUUAUAUUGUAGUUGCUUUACCCACCUUUGAUUAGUUGUUUAAUUUUGUUUUUAGUCCUCAAAAUAUUUGUAUCAAACGCUAAUCAUUUACGCAUACAUCUUAACGACAAUCGUCGACAUCAAAUACGUUCUUUAAGUAUUUUUUUAUUUGAAAAAAUUGAUUAUUGGAUCUGGUCCUUUGUAUGUAGUGCGAGUUUGUUAUUUUCAAUUAAACAAAAGAUGAUGAUUGGAGUUGGAGAGUUAGUGCAAGUUGUUAAAUCCAUUUUGGUUAUGAAACAUGUAAAUUAAUUAAAUAGCCCACGUUGUGGUGUGGUUAGGACAUAAGAGACUUGGUCCACUUACGCGUAGAAACCAUGAGUCAUCUAUAUAUAUAAACCAGGGUUUUCUCUCACCUCCUGCUGCCACAUCAGCAUAGAGGGAGGGGCAUUUUGUGACACGUCACCCUGCUUUAAACGAUGUCGCAAGCUUUAUCUGAUUCGUCUGGGCCUUUGGAGAUUUCGGGAAGGCCCAUCGUUUUGUUAAAACCUGUGAUCAAUACCGUAACACACACAUCAAGCUAUGACAAAUCCGAAGACUAAAAAAUAAUAUUAAUACGAACUUCCAAAAUGAAAUACUAAAACAUAGAAAACUCUAUACCAUAACAACAUCAUAAAAAAAUAUCUUAGGUUUACCAAACAAAACUAAAAAUAACCAAACAAAAACUUUUACAAUGGAUAAGAAAUAUUAACCAUUCAUAUUCAUAACAAAUAUCUUUCAAUCUAAGAAUAAAAAGUUGUCUGGCCGUUGCGAAUGAGCCAUUGACACACAUGUAACGUAAUUACAUAAAUCUAUAUAUAUAAACCAGGGUUUUCUCUCACCUCCUGCUGCCACAUCAGCAUAGAGGGAGGGGCAUUUUGUGACACGUCACCCUGCUUUAAACGAUGUCGCAAGCUUUAUCUGAUUCGUCUGGGCCUUUGGAGAUUUCGGGAAGGCCCAUCGUUUUGUUAAAACCUGUGAUCAAUACCGUAACACACACAUCAAGCUAUGACAAAUCCGAAGACUAAAAAAUAAUAUUAAUACGAACUUCCAAAAUGAAAUACUAAAACAUAGAAAACUCUAUACCAUAACAACAUCAUAAAAAAAUAUCUUAGGUUUACCAAACAAAACUAAAAAUAACCAAACAAAAACUUUUACAAUGGAUAAGAAAUAUUAACCAUUCAUAUUCAUAACAAAUAUCUUUCAAUCUAAGAAUAAAAAGUUGUCUGGCCGUUGCGAAUGAGCCAUUGACACACAUGUAACGUAAUUACAUAAAUGUUGAAAAUCCAGAGGAAAAAAUUAAACCGUCCAAUUAUGGGUUACAAUAAAUAUACGAAAACAAUUGCAAAACGUAUCAAUCCACUUUCUCUAAGGAAAACAAACACGAAGCACCAUCCUCGGCCCUAUAUAAACAAAGAGAAGCAAAGAAAAAACUAAAAUAUAACAUCAAAAGCAAAAAUACACAGACAGAGGAUAUUUUCAUGAGUUCCAUCAAUCCGAAACAAAGUAUCAUGCAGACCCUUGAGGCCAUGCCUGAAGACAUGCGUCUUCUAAUAGUUUCGAAAGUAGGCCAAAACUCCCACGUCGACUACUUCAAUACGGUACUGACAUGCAGAAGCCUAAGCUUUCGUCCAGACAACCCCUCUGUUGCCAAAGAUCUCAACCUCUCGCCUUUUGUUAAGAAGCCACUCCUAUCCAAUCAGUACGAAUCAUUAAUGGACGCCUGCCUUAAAGCAGACAAUACUGAUGCUCACUUUGUAAAAGGUAUGAUUCAAUUCUUCCAAUCUCAAAAUCAAGUCCUAGGUCUACAUCACAUCCACAUAGCAUCAAAGAGUGGUCACCUACAAGGAAGAUACAUUUUUGGUGUUCUCCUCAUGGCCAUCGGCGAGACAGACAAAGGAAUCAAAAUCAUCAACAACCUCACGGAAGAGAAAGGUAUUUCGUUGGUUGAGGAUUGAAUGAUAAAUUUCAAGAGGGCUCUGGAACGUCCACUUCUUCAGAUGAGGGAUAUAUAUAUAUAAGAGCUCGGUUCUGAAAAUGUGGCCAGAGCUGAACUGCCAUCCUGGAGACGGAACGGCGAACACGGUCUGCUCAAAGUGUUUCCACUUCUUUUUACUCACCGAUUUCUACACGAUGAUGAUGGGCUUCAACAACCUUCUGGAUUAAGAACACCGUAACACCAGACUUUAUUAAUAUCAACCCGUUCACCUUCUCUAUUAGCUUGAAAUAAAACUUCCUACCAUUUGGUUUUACAUAAAAGAUCUGUGUGGUUGUACAAUUUUAAACUGUUGCUUGGUUUUAGUUCCAAUUUUAAAUUUAAAUAAAGCAGAAAUUAAAAUUUCAAAAUUAAGAAAAAAUAAACCCAUGCAAUGAGAUAGUGCUAUAUAAUUUUAGUUCUGUAAGUGUAAUAAUUAUAAUAAAAAACAUACAAGUUAAAGAUAUUCUUCCAACCAAAAAUAUCAAACUCUGCUUCAAAAACUUUGCUUACGAUCCCAUAAACAUAAUACAAAAUUCAUUUCGAAUUCAUACAUCUUCCAUUGUAGUUAACACAGUAACGGAAAUUUGACACAUUAAACAUUGACCAAACAAAUUACAGUAGAGUAAAAGGUAAAACUAAGUUCAAGAUACAAAACAAAACCCUUUCUAUUCCAGAGAGAAAAUUGCAAUCAAGCACGACAACAACAAAAAACUACAUACAGUCCUAAAUACUACAUAGAAUACAACAAUUCCCAAAUUUUUAAAGGAAAACAUUACAUAUGAAUCCAGCUUUUGGUGUUCGUUAAAGAUUUAUGUUCACUUCAAUGACAAACAUUUUAAUAAAAAACGCAAGGGUUUGUGCAGCUAUAGCAUCUUCGAUAUUAGAUCACUUACUCUAUUCAUUUUUCUGUCGAGAAGCACCUGAUAGAAGUAGGUAGAGGCUGGAGGUAAGUGGUAUUUGCAGGUGAAAUUUGGUUUUCUUUUGGAGGUUAGUCAAAGCAAAAAAAACCUUGAAUGUUGUCCACGUUCCAGGAGAAAAAUAUAUUUAGUUCCAAUGCAAUGAAAUAUGACUGUUUAUAACGUUUCCAAAUAACUCUCUGCGAAUUACUUAAGUCACAAGCCAAACUCACCGUACUUACCGUAAUACAAAAAUACAAACAUCAUGCAAAAUAUCCAAUAUUUAAAAUAAACACAACCCUGCCUACACUCACUCAUAACAACAAAAUAAAAGAACACAAUGAUACCAAUUUGAAAUAGGAAAAAAAAUCCCAAACCCGGCGCGUAGCGCCGGCGAACCUCUAGUAUUUCAAUAUAGUUUACAAAUCUGAUACCAAUGUACAUUGACACAAUUCCUUUUUUUUCUAAGGGGUUUUCUUUGGAGGAAAACUAACUAAAAUAAUAAUUUUCGUAAUGAAGUAAACUCGAAAGUCAUAGUCGUGCUGAGCAUAUAGUUCUAAUUUCUUAACGUGUGAAGACUCUUUUAUAACAUGGAUUCAGUCGUUGGAAUCUAAUUGCUUGCAUGUUUAUAACUUUAUAUUACUCUCAUUUGCGUAAACAUUAACACUUCAUCUAUGUACAUUAUUACCUGCUUUCACAGAGAGACAUUUUUUUAGUGAAAGUAGCGUGUCAUAACCAUUGAAUUGGUGAUAAAAUAAAAUUAUGUUAAGUCUCUAUCAUGAUUUCAUGACCAUCGAAUUGGUGGUAUUACAUAAAGAGUCUAUAGAGACUGGGAAUAAAAACAAAUGGAGAAAAAAAAGAUUCAAUAUAACAUCAUCGACAACUGACAAUUUUAUGUACAUCUUCAGACAAUUCUAUCUAAACUAACACAAGUAAAACACUCGGUGAAUAAGACUAGUUCAGAUUACGCCACGUGUUACUGGAGCUUAAAUCAACCGUCGGCAAAAAAAAGUUGACUUUAUCAAUCCUGUAAUAAAAUUUAGUUUUACUUUCCGACCAAUUGCUCAUCUAGUGUCUUCUUCUCCUCCACGCUCUAUAUCUGACUCAGUCAUCGCUAUCCGGCAGUUAGACGACGGAGAUUGAGGCGGAUCUCCGGCUAUGGGGGACGAAGCGUUUCCUCUGCUCAACAUCCGAGUGAAAGAUAACAUCCGACUCAUCGGCGACCUAAACGAGUGAUUCGCCGGCGAGUUCCGAUUCAAAUCGUCCUCAAAUUCACUGAAGUUCCUCCUCGGCACCUCAAUCGCCGCCGGUUUUCUCAUUGAAUCUUCCGUCGGCAUCACAGAUGAUCCAGAUCCAGAGCUCGAACCCGGUUCAGUUGCAGAAACCGGUUCAGGAGAAAUCGUAAUUACGACUUGCUCCUCCAUCGUUACCUCACUUCCGGCGAGAGGCUCGACGAGAGAGCGGCAGAGAGGACACGUGGAAUGAGAAUGAAACCACAUAUCUAUACAGUCAACAUGAAACGUAUGCUUGCAACCGGGCAAAACCCGACCCGACUCGCCUUCCUCGAACUCGGAGAGGCAAACGGCGCACUCGGUCAGAUCUUUGUGAGUCGACUCGGAGAAAGCGAAGACGGGGAGAGACUUGAUCACCGCGGGAUCGAGGCCGCGCGAGGCGACGGCGGCGGCGGAAGGAUCGGCGGCGAAGAAAACCAUCGUGGAGCGACGGUUACGGCUGCGGCGGCGGAAAUGGCGGCGGCGAGCGCGGAGGAGGUACCAGCGGGCGUAGAGGUGGAGGAAGACCAUUAGGAUGACGACGAAGAAGAGGAUGACGAUGGCGCUCAGCAUGAUCUUCCCGCUCAUGGCGUAGGUUCGAGAAGAGCCGGAGGUGGUCUCGUCGGGUCUGCCCAUUGGAUAUUGGUCGUUGGAGUUCAUGGUGGCUAAUGAGAGAGAGAGAGAGAGAGAGAGAGAGUCAAGUGGUGGAAGGAAGAAGAAAAGUGAAGAAGUCAGUUUAGAGUAAUGGCGAGAGAGGGAAGGUUCGUGAGAAAGAGCGCUAUUUAGAAGACGACGCCAAAGUUGACGCGCAAGUUUCGUAUUUGACCUUUCUACCCUUGUUCUUUUUUCCUUUUUUAUUGUAUGCUAAAGUUAUAUAUUUACCUCUUGUGUUUUUUACUUUUACCAAAUUAUUAUUUUUUCACAGAUUCUUCCUUGUUGUUCACUCGCUCAAGAUCUCUCCCAAGAAAAACCCUAAACUCAUCUGACCGGAGAUUGACGACGACGACGCUACAAACAAUGUCUUCCACGGCUAAACGGACUUCUUCUUCUUCCUCGUUGUCGUCAUGGGGGAAUCAUCAGUCCAAGGAUAAUCCACUCUGCUAUGGAGAUAUCACAAACCAGAGGAGCGGAUCUCCUCCUAGAAAAUUAGGGUUAGGGUUUACUCUGAUCUGUAAAUUCGUUCAACCACUCAAGUUUCACUAUUGUUCCAAAAAAACCAACCAAACAAAACCUCUCGAAUUGCUUAAUCCUUCUGAUUUGGGAAAAGAAGAUGAUGAUGAUAGUAGUAACUUGGGUGAGGAUCCACAGCUUUGUGGUGCCUUUACAUGCGAUAUUUACGAGCAUAAUCUGCGUUCAUCCGAGGCGAAGAAAAGGCCUGCUAUCGAUUACAUGGAGAGGGUUCAACCAAACAUCGACGCCACCAUGCGUGCCAUCCUGAUCGAUUGGCUCGUGGAGGUUGCUGAAGAGUUUAGCCUUCCGCCAGAGACUUUGUACCUGGCGGUGAACUGUUUAGACAGGUAUCUUUCGGGAAACGUGAUCACAAAGCUAAACCUCCAGUUGCUUGGUGUUUCAUGCAUCAUGAUUUCAGCUAAAUAUUAUGGACGAGGAUCAGUGCGUGCGCCUCUUCGUCAGGUGGAGAGUUUCUGUUACAUCACCGAUUACACCUACUCGAGAAACGAGCUCCUGGAGAUGGAGUCUUGUGUUCUCAACUACUUGAAGUUCGAGUUAACAACUCCAACGGCAAACUGUUUUUUAAGCCACUUUGUCCCUCAAGGCAAAAGAGAGGAGGUCCCAUCGUCCCACCUCUUGUUUGAGUCGCUAGCGAGCUAUCUCUGCGAAUUAUCUCUCUUGGAUUACGCUAUGCUUCGCUACGCUCCAUCACUCGUCGCAGCCUCUGCUGUUUUCUUGGCACGAUACGUGUUACAUCCUUCGAGAAAACCAUCGUGGAGCUCUACGUUGGAGCAUUACACACGGUACAGGGCUCAGCAUUUGGAAGCGUGCGUUAAGAAUCUUCUUCGGCUGUGUCAUGAGAGUCCCUCAGGUGAUAAUGUAGUUGCAGUCAGAAAGAAGUACAGUAAAGCCAAAUACAAGUUUGCAGCAAACAUGUUUUACCCCUCCUCACUGCCGGUGCCACAAGAGCUCUUCCUCUGAUUGGCUUCCUUUUUGUUUUUAAUUUCCUCGUCUUGUUGAUAGAAACUCAUUGGGUCAGAGACCAAUGUGUUCAGUUCGAUUCAUGUAAUGAACAUAAAACAAUUUAUAAAAGAGAAGUAAAUAAUCCACCAAAAAAAGUUAUACCUUUCUUAUUAAAAGCUUAUAAAUCUAAUGAGAUAUGUGAUUAUGAGAUCUUUUAGCAUUUUCUUCUAUAUCAAAAAUUAUUAAGUGCAUUUUUUACGAGAUAUUAGGACGAUUUUGUUAUUUUUACUUUUAUUGUCUCCACUCCAGAGAUUGAAAGUGUUUUGGUUGGUUUAAAUCUGCUAAAUUCCGUUUAUUUUGUCUUUAUCUCCUUUUGCUAGAGUAGUACGUAGUUUCCUCUGAUCCUUUCAUUUAGUAAAGUCUAAAAGGAUUUCAUCACAGAAUCUAGACCCACUUACAAGACUGGUUAGAUUCAUAAAGCAAUAGCUCAACACUAUCUAUCUAUAGUCUAUACAUUGAUUAGCUCUCUUAAAAAUGCUCUUCGACUUCAGUACUUCAAUGUACAACUCUGGCCUUGAUGCUGACAACAUUGAAGAUAGACACAAGUCUUCAGCGCAGAAAAAUGUCAAGAUUUUUAUUCACCUGAAAAAUAUAAUCUACAAUCAUACUUUUAUUUUUUGAAAUAUUUUUUUUUGAAACACUAUUUACAAUCAUACUAAAGGUUAGAUUUAGUUAUAUCCACAGUACAUAAAUCAACAUGCGCUUGUCAUAUGCAACAUCAACACCAUACAAUUUACAAUGAUACUGAAACAAAUUGCAUGCAGUUUCUGCAUAAUCAUAUGCAACAUACGCUUGUGAAAUAUAUAUAUAUAUAUAUACCUAACCUGUGUGUACCAUCUCCCCAAAACUGCAACUGUACCAUCAUAUGCUUGAGAUCAAAAGCAUGAAAGUAACGCAUGAGUUUCAGCUAAUGGUGUAACCUACUUAUUCAUUUGCCAAAGAACCCAUCUUCUUUCAUUUUCCUAAACAGCGCAUCAGCUACAUGAAUUAGGCCUCGUCUACUAAAUCCCGACAUCAUUGUAGUAUAUGCUACAACAUUAGGCUUUAUUAUUUUAGAGAACAGGAUACCAAAAUAAAACCAAAGCAUCCUCAACCUUGCACAUCUGUUGAAUAAUGAUAGUAUACUACCAAUACUAACAUCCGUUUGUCUCUUUCGCAUGUACUCAAAUAUCAUCAGCGCUUUCUCUACGUUCCUGCAAAUGCUUUUAGAUGAAUUGUCACGCCUAUGAUUCGUGUAGAGUUGUUUAGGAAAAUGUUUGUUUAAAGAAUAUUAAUAUACAUCAUUGCAACAUAAUUUAACAAAAAAUGAUAAUAGCUGCAGUGAAAUCAAGUUGACCUUAUAGCUGAAGAUUCACAACACACUAGCUCAACAAUAUGACUUUACACGCCAACCAACACCAAAGUAAACUUCCGAAAGACCGGUGACCUAGCGGUUCUCUUCUGACGACCAAUCUUCACAGGUCCUAUAUAUGCCUUAUACAUGAUACAUUCAUCAACUUUCUUUACAAUAUUAACUUCGUAUCUUGAUUGUUCUCUAAGUAUAGUAAAAAUCAAGUUGUAUCCAAUGUUACAAGUUUUUGGUUCAGUUACCCGAAUCUUCAAAAUGGGAAACUUUUAAUUACCUUCAAGAUGACAUCUCUUUUGAAAAGGGUCUGUACAGAAUUUAUGUGUAGCUAAUUAGGUAUGUGACCUUGAAGAUCAUAUCAUCGUACAACCUUUUUUUUUUGUCUUGUCUUAUAUCAUCAACACUAGGAUAAGACCCGCGCCUUGCGCGGGAUUAAGUUAUUAUUUUUAUUAUAUUUUGGAGAAUGAAACAAUAGUUUGGCUUCAUUUGGAUUACGGGUGUUCAACCCGGAUAUCGGGUUGGUUUCGGUUCGGUUCGGUUUUUUCGGUAUUUGGUUAGUAAAAUAUAACUACUAUUCUAAAUUCAUAUUUAUUUUGACUUUAGUCUUUCACAUACUUUUGAAAGAUUUCAACUGGACGACUAAGAGCUUGACUGGUUUCCCCGCUACCACCCGCAAACGCAGCUUUUGCGGUUGGUAGCGGUUGAUAGCGUUUCAAAACAAUCAUAUAAACUGCUACAAAUCGUUUCAAACCGCUCCGAACCUCUUAAAAUCAAAAGUUGGUUCCAGCUAGCCUUUGCGGUUGCGGACGGUUGCGGGAGGAUAAUUUUUUUUUCUUUUUUUUAAAAACCAUAUAAAUACAAAAAUAAAAAUAUUCAAUAAAUUUUUUAAAAUGAAAUUAUGAACAUACUAAAAUAUAUAUAUAUUAUAUUUUUAUUAAUAUUAUAAAAUUUUAAAAUAAAAAUAUUUUCUAUAAUUUUAAAAAUUUUAAAUUAUAACUUUGAAAAUAUAAUUUACAUAUUUAUUAUAAUAUUAUGAUUUUUGAUAAUUUUAUAAUUAUAUAAAAUGUAAAUAUUGUUAAUUUAUUAUUUAACCGCAGCUGUAUUUGGUAGUUAACCAGUCAUAAGUAUCCCGCAAACGCACCAAUUUCUAACCGCAUAACCAGUCGUACAAAUCUCUUAAAACCGCUAGAAACCGCAACCACCCGCAACCGCAAACAUCUGCAGCCGCAACCGCAACCGCUGCGUUUGAACCAGUCAGACCCUAAAUUGAUCAGCCAAUCUUGUUGCUUUAAAUCAUUAGUAUUUAUAUAUAUAUAUAUAUAUAUAUAUAUAUUAUUUAGUUUGAAUAUUUAUUAAAUAAAAAUUCAUAUGCGUUAUAUUUUAUGAUCAUUUGUAACUUAUUAUAACAAAAAAAUAAUUUAUUGAUCACAAAAUUUUCAGAGUGGGAAUAUUCAAAUUUCUAAUAAUAUAUAGACGUUUUGAAAAAUUCAAAUAUAACAUAUAAGAAAAAAUAUAAAUGUUUUUAUUAUAUAUUUAAUGUGAUUUUUUAAUAUCUUUCAAUAAUAUAAAAUUAAAAAAAAAGAACUAAGAUACCAAAAUUGUUAUCAAAUAUUUAUUAUUCAUAAUAAUUAAUUUUCAUAUAUACGUUAAUCAUAUUAGGUAAUUUCGUAGCUUCUAAUUAAGAAAAGUGCAAAAAAAAUUUUGGUAGAUUAUUUAUCAAUUCGAUAGUUAGUUUAAUAAAAAAUAUAAUGUAAGUCAAGAUGGACCAACCUAUUUUUCUAAGAAUAGUAUAUUUUAUAUAGUCAUUUAUUAAAUGAGAAUUUAUAAUCAUACAGUUCUAUGAUCAUUCAUAUCAUUUUAUAACUGAAUAUUUAAAUCAUCGAUAACAAAAUUUUCAAUGUGAAAUCUUUAAUAAGUUUAUAAUUUAUAAAUGUUUUUGAAAAUUCAUUGAAAGUUUUAAUAUUAAAAUAUUUAUGUAAUCUUAUGGUAUAUAGUAUAAUCUAUAUAUAUAUAUAUGUAAAUAUAUAUGUUUUAUUAUUAAAUGAUAUUUUUUACUCAUAUGGUUUUAAAAUAAUGUGUAUCUUCUUAUAAUAUUAAAUAAAAGUUCAUAUUAAUACAAUUUUAUGAUCAUUUGUAACUUAUUAUGACAAAAAAAAUAAUCUAUUGAUCACAAAAUUUUCAGAUUGGGGAUCUUCAAAUUUCUAAUAAUUUAUAGACGUUUUGAAAAAUUAAAAAUAUAGCAUAUAAGAAAAAUUAUAAAUGUUUUUAUUAUGUAUUUAAUGUGAUUUUUAAAUAUAUUUUAAUAAUAUAAAAUAAAAAAAAAGAACUAAGAUACAAAAAUUGUUAUCAAAUAUUUAUUAUUCAUUAUAAUUAAUUUUCACAUAUACGUUAAUCAUAUUAGGUAAUUUCGUAGCUUUUAUUUAAGGAAAGUGCAAAACAUUUUUUGGUACGUUAUUUAUCAAUUCGAUAGUUAGUUUAAUAAAAAGUGUAAUAUAAGUUAAGAUGGACCAACCUAUUUUUCUAGGAAUAGUAUAUUUUGUAUAGUUAUUUAUUAAAUAAGAAUUUAUAAUCAUACGGUUCUAUGAUCGUUCAUAUCGUUUUAUAACAAAAUAUUUAAAUCAUCGAUAACAAAAUUUUCAAUCUGAAAUUUUUAAUAAGUUUAUAAUUUAUAAAUGUUCUUGAAAAUUCAUUGAAAGUUUUAAUAUUAAAAUAUUUAUGUAAUCUUAUGGUAUAUAGUGUUUAAUAUAUAUAUAUUUAUUUAUUUUAUUAUUAAAUGAUAUUUUUUUACUCAUAUGGUUUUAAAAUCAUGUGUAUCUUCUUAUAAUAAAAAUGUUAAACCAUUGAUCAUUAAUUUUUAACAUAAUAAUUUUAAUAGUUUUAGUCAUUUAUUGUCGUUUUUAAAAAUUCAAAAUAUAACAUAUACGAAAAAAUCUAAAUUUUAUUUUUAUAGCUAAUUUGAUUGUUUAAUUUAUUUUAAUAAUAUAAAAUUAAACAAAAAAUGAUGGAGGAGAUAUACAUUGUUAUCAAAUCUUUAUUAUUAAACUCAUUAAUUGUCAUAUAUAUAUUAGUCAUUUAUGGUAAUUCCGUAGAUUUUAUUUAAGAAAAGAAAAUAUCAUAUCAUAUCAUUAUAUCAUAUAGUUUGACCAACUUAUGUAUCUAACAACAUAUAAAAAUCGAAUGUGGACCUACUUAUUUUUCAAUUGAAUGUAAUUGACUGCCUAAUUGAGUGCCACCUAUGCAUUGGGGCCUCUUUUAAUUAAUACAAAAUUGAGGUUACAUCUUUUCAAAUGUUCCUCAAUUAAUAUAUAAGGGAUAUCACAGAGAUGGAAAUUCUAAAAAGGGAUUAUCAAGCUUCACAAUGACAACAGAAUAACAGAGCAGGAGGAGUUGAACCUUUAGCCAGAGUUCCAGGUUACUGGGACCAAACAAACAUCAAAAGAACCAAAUAAAAAUUGUCAUAACAAUGACCAGAUAAAAACCGGAUCCUUAUUUAUAUACGUAACCCAACUCUCGGAUCCCCCACCCGAACCAGACCCGUAAAGCUUUCACGCGGCUAAUAUAUUUUCCAUAUUUAAAAAAAAAAGGAAAUAACCUAAAAUGGCAAUUUCCUAUUUUUUAAAUUUCCUGUUGUCCAUCGGAAACCAUCGACUAUAAAUAACAAAGUUACGUCCUCGUUUUAAUCCCAUCUUCGCUGCGUCUAACAUUCUUUUAUUCGGAGAAAGAGAUUUAGAAGAACAAAAACAAUAAGCGACAAUGUUGGUGUACCAAGAUCUUCUCACCGGUAAGCUCAUUCAUUCUCUACUCUCGUGUUCAAUCCCGUAGCAUCUUUUGUAUCAUUCUUUCGUGCGGAUCAUUGAUUUCGACUUUUUUUCUCUGCAUGGAACUAGUAUCUCGUUAGUCAUGUGAUCGCUUCUUUUGAUUUUCGUCAAAUUUGCAUUCUAUUAGUGAUAAGGAUAGUUUUUUUUUAAUAUAUCGUUUUUAUAGUUUGCAUAUAUCUAUAAUUUGAUUGAUUAGUGUAUAUAUGUAUAUAUAUAUAUUAUAAUUAGUACGAUUACCCUGACAAGUUUUGUUUCUUUUUUCAGUAUAAUUUUAUCAAGUUUUGGCGAGUCGAUAUGAAUAAUUACUGAAUUUUUUUACUUUAUUAAUUAUUUUUUCAGGUGAUGAGCUUUUGUCUGACUCUUUCCCUUACAAGGAGAUUGAGAAUGGUAUUCUUUGGGAAGUUGAAGGAAAGGUCUGUUGUGUCUAUCAAACACCCUUUACUCCCUUCAAAGUUUGCAAGCUUUUUGUUCUGAUGUUUGUUUAUUAUUUUUAUUGUCCAGUGGACUACUGUUGGAGCUGUGGAUGUGAACAUUGGUGCCAAUCCCUCUGCUGAAGAAGGUGGUGAGGACGAAGGUGUUGAUGACACGACUCAAAAGGUUGUUGACAUUGUGGACACCUUCAGACUUCAGGAGCAGCCGACUUAUGAUAAGAAGGGCUUCAUCGCCUAUAUUAAAAAGUACAUCAAGCUUUUGACACCAAAGCUCAACGAGGAAGAUCAAGCAGCCUUCAAGAAGGGUAUUGAGGGAGCUACCAAGUUCUUGCUCCCCAAGCUCAAUGACUUCCAAUUGUGAGUUUUUAUUUUUUUGUCCUCAAUUCAAUCAUGUUUUCCCUUACAUGAUGACAAUUAAUGAUAUGUUUUUGAUACAAUGUACAGCUUUGUUGGGGAGGGGAUGCAUGAUGACAGCACUUUGGUAUUUGCUUACUACAAGGAGGGUGCAACUAACCCAACAUUUUUGUACUUUGGACAUGGUUUGAAGGAGGUCAAGUGCUGAGUUAGAAGCUCUCGUCAGGUUACUGUGGUCGAUCGGUCGCAGCCACUUUAUUUUGUUCCGUGUUUUGUGUUCUAUUAAAAUUACCUACCACCAGUUUGCUUCUCUUCUCCUUGAUUUAUAUCAUUUAAUAUUAAUUGAAUUUUGUGGUUUGCUUAUCUUAUUUAAGUGUGGUUACUAAACUUAGCCUGAAACUCUAGGCAAGGAUUCAAACAAAUUUGAUACAGAUCUCUAAUGGUGCAUGUAUAAUAAUAAUUUGGGUUAUACUUUUCCGUGAUGGUCUAUGCUUUUGUGAUAGUAGACACUUUUAGAGCAUAUGAUUAAUGGGGGUUAUUAGGGUGGAGUUAAUAUUUUUUUUAAGUAACAGAAAAGUGGUAUAGACAUCAUCAUCACACGUGUGGAAUCUAUCUGUUGGAGUUCUGUCCUCAUGGUUUUCGACUUAGCUGUGAAACAAAUCACAUAUAUGUAAAUAAGAACAUAUAAAAAAAAUGUAUAAGAACAUUGGUGCUAACUAUUUCGACGACAAAGCCGUAAAUUAAUGAACCGUUGGCUAUUUUACAUAUAUACAUUUAACUGUAUAGAAAAUCAAGUUUUUUGGCUGCGUGAACUGCUCAACAAGAUGAUUUGUAUAUAUAAAUCUAUGUUAGAUGUGUGGGGAGAAGAGGACAACCAGAAUGUGUUGGUACGUUUUGUGGUUCAAGUAAAAGGAAACGUGAUUUGGUCGGUUUGACGUUGCUCCAACUCUCUAAUGUAUUUCAAAGUCAUUGUCUGAUAAUCCUAAUGUUUGUCUUGUUUCAUUUCGUUUUUAGCUAAAACUCUUAUUGUUAGCUCACAUGGUCUCCUGUUAACCGUAAACGAUGAUGAAAAGUUGCACAAAACUCCUUUCAUACUGUUGUUUAUUCUUAUUACUUAAUGCUUUAGGCGAAAGCAAAAACUUUAUUGAUUCAAAAGAAAGUAACCCACAAGCUUUUGUUGCCCCACCUCUCCACUUUCAAAUAUUCUUGUACUUGUAUAUUAUAUUGGAUUAUUCAACACACACACACACACGUAUAUAGGAUGGCUUUUCACAAACACAUUCAUACGUGUAAACAUUUCAAAUAUUUGAAAUCAAAACUCAAGAGACUUGAAUAAUGGUUUACAAAAGAUCAUAUGGGUCAGUCAGCAAAGAAUAACAAAUAAAAAAUAGUAAGCAAAUAAUAGUGAUUAUAAGAUUAAAUCAUUAUCAUGUACAAAAAGUUGUGGCAUUCAUGUCGAGGAACAAAAAAAAAGUAGAAGGAAAAACUCAUGUCAUUGUCCUCGGAUAUAUAUAUUCAAAUCAUCAUCUCUCUUAAUUUGUGCUAUGCUCCAAGCCAAUAUCCUUAAAUAUCAUAGAGUAGCUGGAAUCUUUAAAUACACAUAUCCUUCAUUAUCUUAUCAGCUUUAUGCACUUUGGUUAAAUACAUAUAGUUCAAGAACCGUUUUUUUUUGGGCUAAAACUUUUAGUUCAAAAACUGUUUAAAAAACUUUACAAUGGUGUAUAUAUAUGUCGUUUUCAUGAUCUCGUUAAAAAAACACUACUGAGAAUUUUUCCAUUGAUUAUUCAGAACAAAUAAGAAUUUUCAGGCCGUUUCAUAGAAGAAAAUCUUGUGGAAUGUGGAUCGACUUGUCACAUAAUAUAAUGUGUACUAGAUAGUAACAUUAAUUAAAAAAAGAGGACAAAUCUGUGAAAGAAUCUAAAGUUAAAGGACUUGUUUGUAAUUGUAUUAUUGCAAGUGUUUGUAAUAUCUUACUUCAACGCCUCUCUCUCCGCCUAACGUCGCUUACGGCCAUAAACGGAAUACAAAGACGAAAGUUUUGAACAAAGCUCUCUCUCUCUCUUAAUCGCUUAGGGUUUUCUUUUGUUCUGAGUCUCGGAUCUGAUUGUGUAUUUGGAGAGAAGAGUUUAAAUAUCGCAGAUCUAAGAUCGUUGCGUGUUCCAUCUGGUAAUCGUGUUCCUCCUUCCUUGGAUUGAAAAUCAGAAAUAUUUUUAAUUUCGGUUUGGUGUUUCUGAUUUUGUUUUUGGUUUGGAUGAUGAAUGAAGAGUUGUUGUAACAGAUCUCUCAAGUUGGCUCCUCAAAGAAGAUCGCAGCGCGGCCAGAUGCAGCACACCAACGCCGCGGCUGCGACGGCUCUUUACGAUGCGGGACCCGCUAACGACGCUGGAGAUGCUGUCAUGGCGCGGUGGCUCCAAUCCGCUGGCUUGCAGCAUCUGGCCUCUCCCACAGGAGGCAAUGAUCAGCGUCAUCUUCCCAACCUUCUCAUGCAGGUUCUUUGCUUUCCAUUACAUUCUCUUUCAAUCACUUGCAUGCCUUUAGUUCUCAGGAGUUAAUCUACUCUUCGGGCUGGUAGAAAGGAUGACACUUUUUUUUUGUAUUAGAUGCAAAAAGCAAAAUAGUUAGAGCUUUGCUUUUGCUGAGUGUAGGAUUGUUUCCUUUUAUGGAUAUUAGUCAUAAUGUAUCUUAAGGAGAGUUUGAAAUAUUGCUGACCAUCCAUGUUAGUUGUGCGAGUCUGUAACUUUUAUUCCACGAAGAUCAUUAAUUAGUGUUUGAAAAAUUGUGCGAGUGUGAACACAUUCUCUAUCUCUCGCAGCCAGGAAAGGUGUAUAAGCUCUCUUGUAUGUUUGUGUCGUAGUUCGGAGAGAGAUAGUGCUUAUCUUGUUAGAAUUUGUUUUAAGGGACGUUAGUACUUUCUCUUUCGCUUGUUUUUUUAUUUGUGUGAACGGGGAUGGGGAAUUUGAAGGCUUCUUUGUGUUGUUUUUGCGGUAUCUGCUAGGGUUAUGGAGCGCAGAGUGCUGAAGAGAAUCAAAGGCUUUUCAAACUAAUGCGAAAUCUUAAUCUUAAUGGGGAGUCUUCUGAAUCAUAUACACCAACAGCAGCUAUGCCUUCUUCCGAAGGAUUUUUUUCACCCGACUUCAGAGGUGAUUUUGGAGCUGGGUUAAUGGAUCUUCAUGCUAUGGAUGACACAGAGCUGCUAUCUGAGGUACGGUUGGAAGAAUAAUUAGUACAGAGAAUUUUCAUGGUUAAGCCCGUUAGUGCUUAUAGACAAUGGAAAGAUAAUAAAUUUGCAUCAUUAGAUUAUGUUAUUAAUACUGGUACUGCCAUUCUUACAUUGAGUCCCACCUAAUCAAUUGGCUGGCUGCUUAUGCAAUCCAUAUGCGAGACUCUGUUACACAACAUUUGCUCUUGUUACUUGAAACGAUUGAGCGAGAUGUGUUAGCUUUGGUUAGAGAAGGUUCUGUUUGUAACUGCCGCUUGAAUUUGCUAGUUCUUAAAGAAAGAGAUCAUCUAUCUGAAGGUUAUCAAUUCAUUGCUUUUGUAAUAUGUCAUUUUCCUUUCUUGCUACAGCAUGUGAGUACCGAACCCUUUGAGCCGUCACCUUUCAUGCCUAGUGUGGAUAAAGAAUUUGAAGAAGAUUUUAAUUUUCUAACUAAUCGUCAGCAACAAACAGAUGCUGAACCUUUGGGCUCAUUGCCUAAGAGUGAAAAGGAGAAUAACAGUGUAGCCAAGAUUAAAGUAGUGGUAAGCCAUUCACUUGACCACUGACCUGUUUCUUUACUACUUGCUUGCUUUAUAAGUAGCGUUCAUUAUGGCUAGGGAUCACUGAGGAAACCGUUGUUUUUGGGUGUCUUUAUUCUUUAGGUAAGGAAAAGACCCCUAAAUAAGAAAGAAACAGCUAGAAAGGAAGAUGAUGUCGUGACGGUAUCUGAUAAUUCUUUGACUGUCCAUGAGCCCAAGCUGAAGGUUUGUGUGUAUUCUUCAUUGAAGAUAAAAAUGGCAUCCAUGAUUCAGUUGAACAACUGAACGAUGGCAUCCUGCUAUUAAAGGUUACAUGUUAUCUUCAUUUAAUAUUUUCUUGUCUGAUAUUGAACGAAACAUAAUCUUGUUGGUGCAGGUGGAUUUGACUGCUUAUGUGGAAAGGCAUGAGUUCUGCUUUGAUGCUGUUUUAGAUGAGGAUGUUUCAAAUGACGAGGUAACUUAAUAUAUAAUUCAAGAUUAUUGGGCUGUCAUAGAUUUUUUGUCAAGAUCGACAUACAUUAUUGACCAAUAAUUUAGAUCAGCAUGCGGUUUUCCCACUUUUAUAGUCCAGAUGUUUUUUGAUGAAUGGAUAGAUACUUAGAAGUUGUUUGUUGUUCCUUUGAACAGGUGUAUAGGGCCACAAUUGAGCCGAUAAUUCCCAUUAUUUUCCAGAGAACUAAAGCUACAUGUUUUGCAUAUGGUCAAACAGGUAUGCAGUGGCAUUAAUUUGAUUCUAAAAUAUUAGAUGAUAAUAGCUUUUUCAUGCUUUCAUUGCCCUGAUGAUGUUUUACCUUAUUCAGGUAGUGGUAAGACAUACACAAUGAAACCACUACCCAUACGCGCUGUUGAAGAUCUAAUGAGGCUGUUGCGUCAACCAGUAUACAGCAAUCAGAAGUUUGAAUUGUGGCUCAGUUAUUUUGAGAUAUAUGGUGGAAAGCUGUUCGAUCUUCUCAGUGAGAGAAAGUUAGUGUUCUUUAUUUUUCUUUUGGCAUAUACAUUGACCAGGCAUAUUCUAGCUAGUGAUUGUUGUUUUGAUGUCAUUAAAUUAUCUGGCCCCCAAAAAGACGUCAUUAAAUUAUAAUAUUGCCAUUUUCAUCAUUUCAUACUCCAUACUCUCACUGUUGUCCACUAUUACCAAUGUAUGUUUUGCGUUGUCUAAAUUAUUUAGUUAUUGUCGAGCAGGAAGCUUUUAAUGCGAGAAGAUGGUAGACAACAAGUUUGCAUUGUUGGGCUGCAAGAGUACGAAGUCUCAGAUGUUCAAAUUGUAAAGGAACUUAUCGACAAAGGAAAUGCUGAAAGGAGCACAGGUUCAACUGGAGCAAAUGAGGAAUCUUCUAGAUCACAUGCUAUCUUACAGCUUGUUGUAAAGAAGCAUGUUGAGGUAAAACAAACCAGACGUAAAAAUAAUGAUGCCACUGAAUUGCCUGGGAAAGUUGUUGGGAAGAUUUCUUUCAUUGAUCUUGCUGGCAGUGAAAGAGGUGCAGACACCACAGACAAUGACCGCCAGACAAGGUGAGGAUGCUCUUUACCCCUGUGGUUGAGUACCGACCUACCACUAAUGCGUAGAUUAGCUUCUAUGCCUCUUUUGGACUUGUGGAUAUUGAUGGAAUGGCACUAUCUCGCUAUCCUUUUACUUUAGGACCACCACUCUCCUGAUCUAAUGUUUUUGUUUUCACGGUGGUCUUUGCUUAGGUUUGAAGGCGCAGAAAUCAACAAGAGUCUCUUGGCUCUUAAGGAAUGUAUACGUGCACUGGAUAAUGACCAGCUACAUAUACCAUUCCGUGGAAGCAAACUAACUGAAGUGCUCCGUGACUCCUUUGUUGGAAACUCAAGAACGGUGAUGAUCUCUUGCAUCUCUCCGAGUGUAGGAUCGUGUGAACAUACCCUCAAUACUCUAAGAUAUGCUGAUCGGUAUGUUUUGUAGAAACUAUAGCCUCUCUUGAAAUUAAUUCUUAUGUUGGGUUCUCCUAACCUGUUUGUUGUUUACCGAAUCAACAGAGUCAAGAGUCUAUCUAAGAGUGGAAAUAGCAAGAAGGAUCAAACUGCAAACUCAGUGCCUCCUGUUAAUAAGGAUUCUCUGUUGGGCUCAAAUGAUUUAGAAGACAUCUUUGAGCCACCACAGGUAGUGAAUGUUCAGGAAACCGGGAGGAGGGUCGAGAAGGAUAACUACACUGCUUCAGGUAUUGACUUCAGACAACCAACAAAUUAUCGAGAGGAAAGUGGAAUUCCAUCAAUCUCAAUGGACAAGAGUAGAUCAGAGACGAACAAUGCUUUUGGUGGUUCCAACAGUCAGAGGAACCACCUGUCUUCAUAUCCUCAAGAAACUUCAGACCGCGAAGAGAAAGCCAAGAAAGUGUCGCCACCUCGUGGGAAAGGGCUGCGGGAAGAAAAACCAGAUAGACCACCACAAAACUUGUCUUCAUAUGCCAAAGAAACUUCAGACCGUGAAGAGAAAGUGAAGAAACUGUCUCCACCUCGUGGGAAAGUGUUGCGGGAAGAGAAACCAGAUAGACCACCACAAAACUUGUCUUCAUAUCCCCAAGAAACUUCAGACCGUGAAGAGAAAGUGAAGAAAGUGUCGCCACCUCGUGGGAAAGGGUUGCGGGAAGAAAAACCAGACAGACCACAAAACUUGUCUAAAAGAGACGUCAGGUCGUCAGACAUCCCUACCUUUACAAACUUCAGGCAGAACACAAGUGAAACGGUUUCAAGACAAUAUGAAACCGACUCUUCGCUUGAUGAAAACAUUGAUGCACUGCUUGAGGUAAAAUAUGAGAUGAACCUGUGAGAUUGGUUUGCAAGCAAUGGUAGAAAAACUUUUACUAAUAGUUACCGCAUGACUUUUUCAGGAAGAGGAAGCUCUGAUUACAGCACACAGAAAAGAAAUAGAGGAUACAAUGGAGAUUGUUCGCGAGGUAAGUAAACGUAAACAAGUGACUGCAAUUGUAGAUUAUUAUCUCUCUGUUAAACUUUUCAUAAUCUUACUUAGGAGAUGAAGCUUUUAGCGGAGGUGGACAAACCGGGAAGCAUGAUAGAAAACUAUGUCACGCAACUGAGCUUUGUCUUGUCGAGGAAAGCAGCGGGGCUUGUGAGUCUCCAAGCCAGGCUUGCUCGGUUCCAACACCGUCUCAAGGAACAAGAAAUACUUAGCCGUAAGAGAGUUCCUCCUCGAUAGUUGGUACAAGAAAGAAACCCAAAAAAAAACGAUUGUGUGUGUGGUGUUGUCAAGUGUGAAAGUUGCUUGGGACACAGUGGGAUGAAGAAAAAAAAAUGUCCAUUGUGUUUGUGAAUUUGGGAAUAUAUAUAUAUAUUUCAUUUUAUUCUUAUCAUAAAAUUAUACAAUUUGUGUUUACUGUACAAUGAAAUGUGAAUUAAAACUCUUUUCUCAGUCAACUGAAAAAAAGAAGAAUAUAAACAUUUACGAUGUAAUUAUAACCAAUUUAGUAAAAGCCAUGUAAUAAAAAAAAUCAGAUUCUUAAUAGCUAAUAUAAAUUAUUUGCUACCGUCUAGAAAGACAAGGGGAAUAGGUCCAAAAAUAGUACCGCUCGUGUCGUGAACACAAAAAGCCCAACUAAAAGGCCUUGGCCCACCUUACGUUUGUCACGUGACAUGCCAUUUGCAUAAACAAGACUCGAUCUGCACCGUCCGAUGCUUAAACCCAAACGGAUAUCAACCGUCCAUCGAAACGCUCUUAUCUCCUCCACCUUCCCGUCGUAGUCGCACUGUCGCAGGCGAGUAAAAGGCGUAUGAAAAGAUAUUUCUCAGAUCUAGGUAAACACUUUCCGCCAUUGCUCCUCUCCUCGCUCUCUGUGUAAGCUUUUAGGGGCUUCAUUUUCGAUGAAUUCUCCUUGUAUUUCUAUUGAAUUUUAUGAUCAAAUAAAUAUGCGUGCGAUUAGAGAAGAGACGAGUCCUGAGCUAGGGUUUUGUAUUUAGAUUGGUUGGUUGGAGCAGUGAUUCGUGAUUUCGUUUUUGUUUAUGAUCGUGAACAGCUCAGAUCUUUAUGGAACUAUUAAGUUAUGUUUGCGAUAGUCCUGAGCUUGAAUUUAUAUCAAAGGUUUAGCCUUUUUUUUUUUUAAUGGGUGUGAACAGGUAAGAUAUGGAAGAGAAGAAGCUUGCAGACGAUAGAAACAGCGAUGAGCAAGUAGAGAGAAUUGAAUUGGUGGUUUCUGAUGUUGAUGCGAGGGAUACAGAAGAUGAGGUCUUUGAGGAAGCUAUCGACAGUUCGAAGCCUGAAUCUUUUCAAGCCGAUGAUGGGUUACACGAGGAUUCACCUUCAGAGGAAGUGAAAGAUUCCAAGGUUAAUGGAGAGAGCCAUGGUGAGGCAAACGGGCAAGAUAUAACUACGGGAGAGGCUGUACCAGGUUUUGUGACUUCCCGAAUGAAUGGUGUUGAAGGGGAAGCAAGUGCAGGGAAUGUCAGCGAUACAGCUACACUUUCUUUUUCUGAAAAUGGAACUGUCUCUCUUGAGAAGAAAGCUGUUCUCCUCUCUUUCGGGUAAGCUUUUAGGGUUUCAUUUUUAAUGAAUUCGUCUUGUAUGUAUAUCUUUGAAAAGAGACGAGUAUUCUAGAGUUUGUGGUGAUAAUCCUGAGCUACGGGUUUGUUUCUGCUCUAUCUUUUCUGUUAGGGUUGCUGGAAAUUAUAUCAAGGGUUAAGCAUUUUUGUUUGGUUAGUGCAAUGAUUGGUGAUUUCGUUUUGGUUAUGGUUGUGAGCAGGUCAGAUAUGGAAGAGAAGAAGCUUGUAGACGAUAGAAUCAGCGAUGACCAAGUAGAUAACAACAUAUUGCUGGUUUCUAAUGUUGAUGCGAGGGAUACCGUAGAUGAGGUAUUUGAGGAAGCUAUUAACGGUUUCCAAGACGAUGAUGGGUUGCACGAGGAUUUACCUCGAGAGGCAACUCCUGCAGUUUACAUGGAUGAUCUGGAAGAAGUGAGUAGCAAUGAGAAGGAAGUGAUAGAUUCCAUGGUUAGUGGAGAGAGCCAUGGGGAGGCAAACGUGCAAGAUAUAACUACGGGAGAGGCUGCACCAGGUUUUGUGACUUUCAAAAUGAAUGGUGAUGAGGGGAAGUCAGGUACAGAUAAUGUCAGCGAGACAGCUACACAUUCUUUUUCUGAAAAUGGAAAGAAACAACUGGUGGCUGAAGUGAUCGAGGAAACAAGGAAUGGUGGUAUAGAAGAGGAAAACAGGGAUGAAAAUGUUGAUGUAUCAGCUGGCAGAGGAACAGAACAAGAGGCACAAAGAAAUGGUGAGACUGCUGCCGAUUACAACACUGUUAAACGUGCUUCAGGUGAGAGAUCCUUGAAUGAUAGUAUAGCUUGUGCUGGGACCUUAUCUCCAUUGGAGAAAUCUAGUUCUGAGGAAAAGGGAGAGACUGAAGGUCACAUCAGUAGAGAGCAUGAUACUGUUCAAAACAGUAAGGGAGGACUUGGUGUUGAACAUACUUCUCAACCUAAUAAGGAAUUUGAGAAGAAGCAAGGCAGCAGAGUGAAUAUGAGUCCAGAGAUUCAGGAAAGCCCACAUUUGGAAAGAAAAUCUGAGGAAGCAAGUUCUGUUUCACCAACAGAAUCUACAAGUAAUACUGCAGCGUCACCUCCUGCUCGCCCAGCAGGCCUUGGGCGUGAUGCUCCUCUUUUGGAAUCCACACCACGUGUUCCUCAUCAGCCUCGUGUCAAUGGUAAUGUGUCUCAGAAUCAGUCUGAGCAAGCAGAGGACCCUACCCCUGCAGAGACCGAUGAGCAUGAUGAGACCCGUGAGAAGCUCCAAUUGAUCAGGGUCAAGUUUUUGAGGCUUUCACAUAGAUUAGGGCAAACUCCACAUAAUGUUGUUGUUGCUCAGGUUUUGUAUAGGCUUGGAUUAGCAGAGCAGUUGAGGGGGAGAAACGGAAGCCGUGUUGGUGCCUUUAGUUUUGAUCGAGCCAGUUCCAUGGCAGAACAACUUGAGGCAGCUGGACAGGAUCCACUUGAUUUUUCUUGUACAGUUAUGGUGCUCGGUAAAAGUGGUGUUGGUAAGAGUGCUACGAUUAAUUCUAUUUUUGAUGAACCGAAAAUCUGUACCGAUGCAUUUCAGAUGGGGACAAAGAGGGUUCAGGAGGUUGAGGGUUUUGUUCAGGGAAUUAAGGUUCGGGUGAUUGACACUCCAGGUCUCUUACCAUCAUGGUCUGAUCAACACAAGAAUGAGAAAAUGUUGAAGUCUGUUAAGGCUUUCAUCAAGAAAAAUCCACCGGAUAUCGUAUUAUAUCUUGAUAGGCUGGAUAUGCAAAGCAGAGAUUCUGGUGACACUCCUCUCUUGCGCACCAUCACUGAUGUUUUUGGACCAUCGAUAUGGUUUAAUGCCAUUGUGGGUUUGACUCAUGCCGCUUCUGCUCCACCAGAUGGCCCAAAUGGCACUGCCUCUAGCUAUGACAUGUUUGUAACACAACGUUCUCAUGUCAUUCAGCAGGCCAUUCGCCAAGCAGCUGGAGAUAUGAGGCUCAUGAACCCUGUGUCUUUAGUUGAGAACCACUCUGCUUGCAGGACAAAUCGGGCAGGUCAGAGAGUAUUGCCGAAUGGCCAAGUGUGGAAGCCUCAUUUGCUGUUACUCUCAUUUGCGUCCAAGAUUCUAGCAGAAGCAAAUGCUCUUCUGAAAUUACAAGAUAAUAAUACUCCAGGGAGACCAUUUGUAGCUCGAUCCAAGGCUCCACCACUGCCACUUCUCCUCUCAUCGUUUCUGCAAUCAAGACCGCAAGCUAAACUUCCUGAAGAGCAGUAUGGUGAUGAAGAAGAUGAAGAUGAUUUGGACGAAUCAUCAGGUUCUGACGAAGAAUCAGAGUACGACCAGCUUCCUCCUUUUAAGCGUUUGACUAAAGCUGAGAUGGGUAGUCUUAGUAAAUCUCAGAAGAAGGAAUAUCUUGAUGAGAUGGAGUACCGGGAGAAACUAUUUAUGAAGAGGCAGAUGAAAGAGGAAAGAAAGAGACGUAAGAUGAUGAAGAAAUUUGCUGCCGAGAUUAAAGAAUUUGCUAACGGGCAUAGUGAAAAUGUGGAAGAGGAGAGAAGUGAACCUGCUUCUGUUCCAGUUCCCAUGCCAGAUUUGUCUCUACCUGCAUCGUUCGACUCUGACAACCCUACUCACAGGUACCGGUCUCUUGAUUCCUCCAAUCAGUGGCUUGUUAGGCCAGUCCUGGAAACUCAGGGGUGGGAUCAUGAUGUUGGGUAUGAAGGUGUCAAUGCAGAACGACUUUUUGUUGUUAAAGAAAAGAUACCGAUAUCUUUCUCGGGGCAAGUUACAAAGGACAAAAAGGAUGCAAAUGUGCAGCUGGAAAUGGCCAGCUCGGUUAAACAUGGAGAGGGCAGAUCAACCUCCCUAGGUUUUGAGAUGCAAAAUGCUGGGAAGGAAUUGGCUUACACUGUUCGAAGUGAUACCAAAUUUAACAAUUUUAGGAAACACAAAGCUGCAGCUGGUCUCUCUGUAACGCUCUUGGGUGAUUCGGUGUCUGCGGGGCUGAAAGUUGAGGAUAAGUUGAUUGCUAAUAAAAGGUUCAGAAUGGUUAUGUGUGGAGGGGCAAUGACUAGUCGAGGAGAUGUUGCUUAUGGGGGUAGUUUAGAAGCUCAGCUGAGAGAUAAAGAUUAUCCGCUGGGUAGGUUUUUAUCUACUCUAGGACUUUCUGUGAUGGAUUGGCAUGGGGAUCUUGCUAUUGGAGGGAAUAUACAGUCCCAGGUGCCCAUAGGACGUUCAUCUAAUCUAAUAGCUCGUGCUAAUCUGAACAACAGAGGGGCAGGGCAAGUAAGCCUCCGCGUAAAUAGCUCUGAGCAGCUCCAACUUGCACUGGUCGCAUUGGUUCCUCUGUUCAAGAAGCUACUUAGUUAUUAUUCCCCUCAGCAAAUGGAAUAUUGACAAUAAUGGAUCACUUCGGGUUUCAAUUCACUUACUACAAGAACAUCCUAGAUUGAGAGUUGAAAAGGUACUAAUCUAUCUGCUUUUGCUUUCUUAUUCCAUUUGCUGUAAACCCGCUUUAUUGAUUGCUGAUGUGGCUUUUGGUUUUUGAGCAGGAACCUUGGUGUGCCCUUUGGGUUGAAAACUUUAAGAACAAUUUGUUGGAGGAGGCCUCUGUUUUCUUUACAUAGCCAGAACACUUGUUCGUUCCUUGUCUAAUUUAAGCAUAGUUGUGGUUUUAUUCUCUUUCCAAAACCUUUGUAUGGCUUUCUGUUCAUGUCUACCUCUGGAUUUUUCAUAAAGCUUGUUAAAAUUAUGCUGCAAUCUACUUGUUGAUUUUAAGACACCCAUCAUCACCCUCUGAGCUAGCCGUAAUUCAAGGCUUUUAAAGGGAGUUUUGUAGGGGUCCUUAUCAUCUGCUAAACGUCUUUUAAUGUUGUCAAGCAUCUAUUGUAAGCUGCUUUGGAAAGUCAAAGUUGCUGGUAACUUUUGUUGCGCCAGUUCGUAUUAUGCGUCUUUCCCUCAAAUCAAAAGAUUCUGUUGUUGAUACUGUUACUGCGAAUCUCACAUUGUCACGUUGAGUCCCACCAAAUCCAUUGGUUUGGUGCUCAUGCAAUCCAUCUGCGAGACUUCUGUUACACAAUUUGCUCUUGUUAGCAGCGAGAUGUGGUAGCUUUGGUCUUGUUGUCAUUAUAAAAGCUUCUGUGGUGGAAAUACCGUUUGGAUUUGCCAGUUCUUAACGGAAGAGAUUAUCUAUGUGAAAGUUGUCACUGCAUGUUUUGACUUGUCUAAUAUUGUCGAGUAGGAAGCUUUUAAUGGGAGAAGAUGGUAGACAAGAAGUUUACAGUGUUGGGCUGCAAGAGUAUGAAGUCUCAGAUGUUCAAAUUGUAAGGUACUUAUCGAGAAAGGGAACGCUGAAAGGAGCACAGGGUCAACUGGAGCAAAUGGGGAGUCAUCUAGAUCACAUGCUAUCUUACAACUUGUUGGAAAGAAACACGUUUUGAGGUAAAAGAAACCAGACGUAAAAAUGAUGAUGCCAAUGAAUUGCCUGGGAAAGUUGUUGGGAAGAGUACUUUCAUUGAUCUUGCUGGCAGUGAAAUAGGUGCAGACACCACAGACAAUGACCGCCAGACAAGGUGAGAAUGCUCUCUAGACGUCGUGGCUGAGUACUGAUGUGGGACCCACAAAUGACGCUGGAGAUGAUGUCAUGGCACGCUGGCAAUGAUCAGCGUUAUCUUUCAAACCUUCUCAUGCAGGUACUUUGCUUUCCCUGAGUCUUUCUUUCCAUUACACUCUUCCAAUAACUUGCAUGCCUUGUAGGUGGUAAUUGCCAAUGUUUUGUUAGAGCUUUGGUUCGCUGAAUGCUGAGUAUGAAUGUAAGCUUGGAAUCUUUUUGACCAUCCUUGUGAAUUGUGCUUAUCUUGCUAGAAUUUGUUUCAGGGCAUGUUAGUAAUUUAUCUCUUUCGAUUGGUAAUUUUCUUAGCUAUAGAAACUUUACUGGCUGGCUGCUUUGUGUUUGUUUUUGCUGUAUCUGCCACGGUUAUGGAGCUCAGACUGCUGGAGAGAAUCAAAAGCUUUUCAAACUAAUGUGAAAUCUGAAUCUCUACGGAGAGUACUCUGAAUCAUAUAUACACCAUCAGCAGCUUUUCAAACUAAUGUGAAAUCUGAAUCUCAACGGAGAGUACUCUGAAUCAUAUAUACACCAUCAGCAGCUAUGCCUUCUUCGGAAGGAUUUUUUUUCCACCCGAGUUCAGAGAUGAUUUUGGAGCUUGUUUGAUGGGAUCUUCAUGCAGUGGAUGACUCAGAGCUUCUCUCUGAGGUACGUUUGGAAGGACAACUAGACAUAGAUCAUUCAUAGUUAUGUUGAUUGGUAUGUUCUGUAGAAACUAUAGCCUCUCUUGAAACUAAUUCUCAGCUUCUCUUAACUUCAGACCGUGAAGAGAAAGUGUCACCACCUCGUGGGAAAGGGUUGCGGGAAGAAAAACCAGCCAGACCACAAAACAUGUCUAAGAGAGACGUCAGGUCGUCAGAUAUCCCCUACCUUUACAAACUUUAGGCAGACACAAGUAAGCCAUACAUAUAUAUAUAUAACCGACCCUUCACUUGAUGAAAACAUCGAUGCACUGUUUGAUGUAAAAUUUAACCAAUUUAGUAAGCCAUACAUAUAUAUAUAUAUAUAAAAAAACAAUCACGUUUGUAAUAGCUAAUAUAAAAUAUUUGCGACUGACAAUAAUAGAAAAGACAGGUGAGUAACUCCAAGAAAGAAGAAAACAAGUAUCUGUCUCGUGUAGUGAUGGCAAAAAGGCCAACAAGAUUUAGCAGCCCACCUAAAAGGCCUUGGCCCACUUCAUGUUUCCACCGUACGAUGCUUAAACCCAAAACGGAUAUCCACCGUCCCUGGAAAGCUCUUAUCUCCCUCCUCCUCCACCUUCCCCGUCAGAAGUUUGCCUCUCUCCCUCUCUCUCUCUAAACGAGGUUAGCUUUCUCUUUUUUUUUGUAUAAGCUUUUAGGGGUUUCAUUUUCAAUGAUAGAGAUGAGUAUUCCAGAGUUUCGUUUCUGCUCUAAUUUUAUCGUUAGGGUUAAGCCUUUUUAGUCUGAUUGAUUCGUGAUUUCGUUUUGUUUAUGGUUGUAAGUAGGUAUGGAAGAGAAGAAGCUUGCAGACGAUAGAGUCAUCGAUGACCAAGUAGAGAAAAUUGAAUUGGUGGUUUCUGAUGUUGAUGCGAGGGAUACCGAAGAUGAGGAAGCUAUUGACAGUUCAAAGCCUGAAUCUCUCCAAGCCGAUGAUUUACCUUCAGAGGAAGUGAAAGAUCCAAAGGAGAUUAUUGGAGAGAGCCAUGGUGAGGCAAACCUGCAACAUAUAACUACGGGAGAGGCUGUACCAGGUUUUGUGACUUCCCGAAUGAAUGGUGAUGAAGGGGAAGCAGGUGCAGAGAAUGUCCACGAGACAGCCACACAUUCUUUUUCUGAAAAUGGAACUGUCUCUCUUGAGAAGAAACAACCGGUGGCUGAUGUGAUCGGGGAAACAAGGAAUGGUGGUAUUGAAGAGGAAAUCAAGGAGGAAAUUGUUGAUGUAUCUGGGGCACAAAGAAAUGGUGAACGUGCUUCAGGUGAGAGAUCUUUCAAUGAUAGUAUUCAAGUAGCUUCUGCUGGGACCUCAUCUCCAUUGGAGAAAUCUAGUUCUGAGGAAAAUGGAGAGACGGAAGGUCACAUCAGUAGAGAGCAUGAUACAGUUCAAAAUGGAGGACUUGGUGUUGAACAUACUUCUCAACCUAAUAAGGAAUUUGAGAAGCAGCGAGGCAGCAGAGUGAAUAUGAGUCCAGAGAUUAAGGAAAGAAAAUCUGAGGUAGCAAGUUCUGUUUCACCAACAGAGUCUACAAGUAAUAUUGCAGCGUCACCUCCUCCUGCUCGCCCAGCAGGCCAUGGGCGGGAUGCUUCUCUUUUGGAACCCACUCCACGUGUUCCUCAUCAGCCUCGUGUAAAUGGCAAUGCGUCUCAGAAUCAGUCUGAGCAAGCAGAGGACCCUACCCCUGCAGAGACCGAUGAGCAUGAUGAGACCCGUGAGAAGCUCCAAUUGAUCAGGGUCAAGUUUUUGAGGCUUUCACAUAGAUUAGGGCAAACUCCACAUAAUGUUGUUGUUGCUCAGGUUUUGUAUAGGCUUGGAUUAGCAGAGCAGUUGAGGGGGAGAAACGGAAGCCGUGUUGGUGCCUUUAGUUUUGAUCGUGCCAGUUCCAUGGCAGAACAACUUGAGGCAGCUGGACAGGAUCCACUUGAUUUUUCUUGUACAGUUAUGGUGCUCGGUAAAAGUGGUGUUGGUAAGAGUGCUACGAUUAAUUCUAUUUUUGAUGAAGUGAAGAUCUGUACGGAUGCAUUCCAGAUGGGGACAAAGAGGGUUCAGGAGGUUGAGGGUUUUGUUCAGGGAAUUAAGGUUCGGGUGAUUGACACUCCAGGUCUCUUACCAUCAUGGUCUGAUCAACACAAGAAUGAGAAAAUGUUGAAGUCUGUUAAGGUUUUCAUCAAGAAAAAUCCACCGGAUAUCGUAUUAUAUCUUGAUAGGCUGGAUAUGCAAAGCAGAGAUUCUGGUGACACUCCUCUCUUGCGCACCAUCACUGAUGUUUUUGGACCAUCGAUAUGGUUUAAUGCCAUUGUGGGUUUGACUCAUGCCGCUUCUGCUCCACCAGAUGGCCCAAAUGGCACUGCCUCUAGCUAUGACAUGUUUGUAACACAACGUUCCCAUGUCAUUCAGCAGGCCAUUCGCCAAGCAGCUGGAGAUAUGAGGCUCAUGAACCCUGUGUCUUUAGUUGAGAACCACUCUGCUUGCAGGACAAAUCGGGCAGGUCAGAGAGUAUUACCGAAUGGCCAAGUGUGGAAGCCUCAUUUGCUGUUACUCUCGUUUGCGUCCAAGAUUCUAGCAGAAGCAAAUGCUCUUCUGAAAUUACAAGAUAAUAAUACUCCAGGGAGACCAUUUGUAGCUCGAUCCAAGGCUCCACCACUGCCACUUCUCCUCUCAUCGUUUCUGCAAUCAAGACCGCAAGCUAAACUUCCUGAAGAGCAAUAUGGUGAUGAAGAAGAUGAAGAUGAUUUAGACGAAUCAUCAGGUUCUGACGAAGAAUCAGAGUACGAUCAGCUUCCUCCUUUCAAACGAUUGACUAAAGCUGAGAUGGCUAGGCUUAGUAAAUCUCAGAAGAAGCAAUAUCUUGAUGAGAUGGAGUACCGGGAGAAACUAUUUAUGAAGAGGCAGAUGAAAGAGGAAAGAAAGAGACGUAAGAUGAUGAAGAAAUUUGCUGCCGAGAUUAAAGAUAUGGCUGAGGAGCAUAGUGAAAAUGUGGAAGAGGAGAGAAGUGAACCUGCUUCUGUUCCAGUUCCCAUGCCAGAUUUGUCUCUACCUGCAUCGUUCGACUCUGACAACCCUACUCACAGGUACCGGUCCCUUGAUUCCUCCAAUCAGUGGCUUGUUAGGCCAGUCCUGGAAACUCAGGGGUGGGAUCAUGAUGUUGGCUAUGAAGGUGUCAAUGCAGAACGACUUUUUGUUGU